GAGCCUGUAGCUCAGUGGAUAGAGCAUCAGAUUGCGGAUCUGGGGGUCGGAGGUUCGACUCCUCUCAGGCUCG
rnacentral:tRNA from 1 species